AAUAGAUAACACCGUUGACUUUUUCUCACAUGUUUGACCAUUCGUCUUAUUCAAAAAAUUUACGUAAUUAUAAUUUAUUUUGUUAUGAGUUGUUUUAUUACUCAUAGUACUUUAAGUGUGAUUUAUAUAUUAUAUAUUUGCCAAAAAAAAUUGAAUAAGACGAAUGGUCAAACAUGUGAGAAAAAGUUAACGACGUCAUCUAUU
rnacentral:pre_miRNA from 1 species